GGUAGCAUGGCCGAGUGGUCUAAGGCGCUGGAUUCAGGCUCUAGUCUCUCUGGGGGCAUGGGUUCGAAUUCUGCUGCUGUCA